GAUGAACGCUGGCAGCGCGCCUUAUACAUGCAAGUCGAACGAUCCGAUUAUAUCGGAGAGUGGCGAACGGGUGAGUAACACGUUGGUAUCUACCCCAAAGUAGAGAAUAAUCCCGAGAAAUCGGGGCUAAUACUCUAUGUGUUCGAAAGAACAAAGACUUCGGUCGCUUUGGGAAAAACCUGCGGCCUAUCAGCUUGUUGGUAAGGUAACGGCUUACCAAGGCUUUGACGGGUAGCUGGUCUGAGAAGAUGACCAGCCACAAUGGGACUGUAGACACGGCCCAUACUCCUACGGGAGGCAGCAAUAGGGAAUCUUCGGCAAUGCCCGAAAGGGUGACCGAGCGACGCCGCGUAAAGGAAGAAGAUCCUUGGAUUGUAAACUUUUUUUCUCCUAGACAAAGUUCCGAUUGUAUAGGAGGAAUAAGGGGUUUCUAAACUCGUGCCAGCAGAAGCGGUAGUACGAGUACCCCAAGCGUUAUCCGGAAUCAUUGGGCGUAGAGCGUUGUAUAGGUGGUUUAAAAAGUCCAAUAUUAAAUUUUUAGGCUCAACCUAAAAUCUGUCUUGGAAACUUUUAGACUUGAAUAAAAUCGACGCGAGUGGAACUUCCAGAGUAGGGGUUACAUCCGUUGAUACUGGAAGGAACGCCGAAGGCGAAAGCAACUCGCGAGAUUUUAUUGACACCGCGUACACGAAAGCGUGGGGAGCGAAAAGUAUUAGAUACACUUGUAGUCCACGCCGUAAACUAUGGAUACUAGCAAUUUGAAGUCUUCGACCCUUCAAGUUGCGAAGCUAACGCGUUAAGUAUCUCGCCUGGGAAGUACGGCCGCAAGGCUAAAACUCAAAGGAAUAGACGG
rnacentral:rRNA from 1 species